UCGAGAAUCUUCGGCAAUGGGCGAAAGCCUGACCGAGCGAUGCCGCGUGUGGGAUGAAGGCCUUCGGGUUGUAAACCGCUGUCGUAGGGGAGAAAGGGUCGUUGAAGAAACGACUUUGAUCUAUCCUAGGAGGAAGUCCGGGCUAAGUUCGUGCCAGCAGCCGCGGUAACACGAACCGGACAAACGUUAUUCGGAAUUACUGGGCUUAAAGGGUGCGUAGGCGGUGCGGUAAGUGCGGUGUGAAAUCCCACGGCUCAACCGUGGAAUUGCGCUGCAUACUGCCGUGCUAGAGGGAGACAGGGGUAAGCGGAACUGAUGGUGGAGCGGUGAGAUGCGUUGAUAUCAUCAGGAACACCGGUGGCGAAAGCGGCUUACUGGGUCUCUUCUGACGCUGAGGCACGAAAGCUAGGGUAGCGAACGGGAUUAGAUACCCAUGUAGUCCCUGAGCGGGCUGGCAAGGCGCAU
rnacentral:rRNA from 1 species